rnacentral:rRNA from 1 species
AGUGAACGCUGGCGGUAGGCCUAACACAUGCAAGUCGAACGGCAGCACAGUAAGAGCUUGCUCUUACGGGUGGCGAGUGGCGGACGGGUGAGGAAUACAUCGGAUUCUACUUUUUCGUGGGGGAUAACGUAGGGAAACUUACGCUAAUACCGCAUACGACCUACGGGUGAAAGCAGGGGAUCUUCGGACCUUGCGCGAUUGAAUGAGCCGAUGUCGGAUUAGCUAGUUGGCGGGGUAAAGGCCCACCAAGGCGACGAUCCGUAGCUGGUCUGAGAGGAUGAUCAGCCACACUGGAACUGAGACACGGUCCAGACUCCUACGGGAGGCAGCAGUGGGGAAUAUUGGACAAUGGGCGCAAGCCUGAUCCAGCCAUACCGCGUGGGUGAAGAAGGCCUUCGGGUUGUAAAGCCCUCUUGUUGGGAAAGAAAAGCAGCAGGUUAAUACCCCGCUGUUCUGACGGUACCCAAAGAAUAAGCACCGGCUAACUUCGUG